rnacentral:rRNA from 1 species
GAUGAACGCUGGCGGCGUGCCUAAUACAUGCAAGUCGAGCGAACAGACGAGGAGCUUGCUCCUCUGACGUUAGCGGCGGACGGGUGAGUAACACGUGGAUAACCUACCUAUAAGACUGGGAUAACUUCGGGAAACCGGAGCUAAUACCGGAUAAUAUAUUUAACCGCAUGGUUCAAUAGUGAAAGACGGUUUUGCUGUCACUUAUAGAUUGAUCCGCGCCGCAUUAGCUAGUUGGUGAGGUAACGGCUUACCAAGGCAACGAUGCGUAGCCGACCUGAGAGGGUGAUCGGCCACACUGGAACUGAGACACGGUCCAGACUCCUACGGGAGGCAGCAGUAGGGAAUCUUCCGCAAUGGGCGAAAGCCUGACGGAGCAACGCCGCGUGAGUGAUGAAGGUCUUCGGAUCGUAAAACUCUGUUAUUAGGGAAGAACAAAUGUGUAAGUAACUAUGCACGUCUUGACGGUACCUAAUCAGAAAGCCACGGCUAACUACGUG